rnacentral:lncRNA from 1 species
CUUCAGCCUCCCAGGAGUUAACAACAUUUCUCCCCAGCUGUCCUCCCCUUGGUGCUCCUUUUCCUCCCUCCUCCUGCUCACAGCAGGCAGGGCCUGGAACCAGGAGCCAUGCUGCUGUGCUGUUGCCAGGGGAGCUGGGAGGCAGAUCAGAGCUAUGCAGGGGAAAGGCUCAGCCUGUCAAAGUGUCUGAGAUGAACCACCGCCAUCCCCGUGCAGCUGGGCUCCAUGUGUCUCAAGGCUCUUGUUCUGUGCCUGAGAACAGGGAAACCCAGCGAGGUUCAAGGGCACACUCGCUAUUCAUCAGUCAGGGGUUCUUGACGGUCCUGCCUCUCCCAGAGAUGGGUUCCCCCCUUCCUCUUUCUCUCCCUCCUGUGACACAAUCCUGGGUGCCUAUGGUGAGGACUGCACACCCCCUCCCUACUGCUCCCCCCAAACCCUGAAUCAACUCUUAUUAAGGAGGCCAGGCAGGAC